rnacentral:lncRNA from 1 species
AAGUUGAAAUAAAGGAGUUAUUGAAUUUUGAAGUCAGCACAUGCAAUCAAAGGGUAGUAAGUGACCUGAUUUACUAGUGGUUGUGUCUUGAGCUAUAUCUUAAGCAAUUUGAAAAGGAUUUUGCUCAAAAUUUCAAGAAAUGUGUAAUAUCAUGUUAGUAAACUUUUUAUAUAAGUUUUAUGAUAUUUGAGUAUUGGAUUCUUGAGAUAUUAAGAAAAUAGUGCUUAGGUGCUUGUAAAUUAGGGUUUAGAGCGUCUAGUAGGAUUUCUUAGAUGUUAGAAGAUUGGGAGUGAAUUUACAAUUGAUUUUUUUUUGUGAUAAAAGUUAAGGGUGAAUUUUACAUAUCCUAUAAACUUAAGACAAAUUAAAUAGUCAGAUCAAGAGAUAUGAAUUUCUAAAGUUCAAAAAAAAAAACACCUUUUACAAGAAAAAUAUGUUUUGAAGGGAUUUUGUUAUAUUUUGAGUUUUAUGCAAAAUAAAGGAGUUUUGGAAGCUGAGACAAGAUUCAUAUAAUGGUUUAAGCCACACUCUUUUCAACUAGAUAUCCAGUAUAUUUCUAGAUAGCAAAUUAUGCCAUACGACAAACCUUCUGAACCCGACGUGAAAAUUUCUGGGGUAGAGAGUUUUGAUGAAAUAUUUUUGGCUUUCUAUUAUGGAAGGGAGGCAAGGAAGUAGUAGUAGGAAUUGUACUCGAAUAUCUCUAUUUCAACUUGAUCCUACUACAAUUCAAAUGUUUCAAGCAUUUGUACUUUUUAUUCAACAACAUCAAGUAAUGGAACGCAAUGAAGUAAUGGCUAUUAAAGCCUUGCAAUCUAUUGUUGGUUUAUUGGAUCAAUUUGAUAGAAGAAAUAUUUUCAAGUAUCUUAAGUAUUAUUCUUCAAAGAUGGAGCUCAAUAAAGUGUCAGAGAAAGAUAUAAUCCUAACAUUUGAGCUUGGAGUUGUACUAGUGCUUUGUGAGUAUAGAAUGGGGAUUAUUCAAACUCAUGGAAAAAAAUGGGAGGAUUUUAUCCUUCAGCUAAAAGAAGAGUAUUCUUUGGAAGAUGCAGAAAUGGUGACAAGAAAAUCAUUUAUGGAAUGGAUCAAUAAAUCCAACAAGGGGUUGAUUACAAUAGAGUUAUUCUAAGAAUUUGAAAGACAAUUUUUUCAAUUAUCUCGAGUGAAAACGUUUACACUUAAAAAUAAUAAGGUGAAGUAAUUUUUCAAUCAGUUCGCAAUAAUUUACAAAGAGAGUUGGAAUUACUAUUGGAGGAUAAUACAGAGGAUAAUGAACUUAAUAUUGAUUAAAAAAAAGUCUCUGAAGUUAUGGACAUACUUGCUAAAAGAGAGUACCAGAGGGGUAAGGUGGUAGUAAGACAAGAGACUAGAUUUCUACCAACUACAAUAUCUCGUAGAUAAUUGCCAAAACCUGUUAUAUCAAUAAGUACUAUUUCAAUUCCUAUGUCUACAGUUGCACUACAGAAAGAUGUAAUUGAUGAAUUUAUAAAAAGAAUGAAAGACUUACAAAUCAAACUAGUAAAGCUAGAAGAGAAAGAAGGAUUACCUGAGAGUAAAUCUGUAUCAAAGCCAAGAUAUAUACAAAGAUGUAUUUGGUGCGAUAGUAUGGAGUAUCUUCAAAGGCAGUGUAGAGAUUUUACUAAUAUUCUGCAAUAAGAAGUAAUUUUAUGGAAAGAUGGAAAAAUUACAUUGUGAGAUACAGGUGAGUUUCUCAAAACCAAUUUUGGAAAAGGAGAGAUGAAGAAGGUUUUGGAAGAGCAUUUAUCUCAAUAGGCUAUAGCAUCAAGAGAGGUUAUUACUUAUGGCAUUGACAUUGUAAGGAAGAAGGAGGAUGUUUUUGAUAAGCAUGUAAAUACAAGGGAUCUAUAGAAUUAUGCUAUUAUCAGCAUGAAUAAAAGAAAAAUAACAAGGCAGGAAUUACUUAAUACAACCACAAUAAUUAAAAAUGCCAUAGGAUGGAAUGACCCUAUAGAUACUAUGUCUGUACAUGCUUAUUUGGCAAAAUCCGAAUAUGAAGCUUUAGUAGAGGUAAAAAGGGGAAGAAAUGAGAUAGAAGAAAAUUUUGAAGAACCAAUCAACAAGAGGAGAUCCCAAAAGAUGCAGAAACAAUACAAAAUAAAGAAAUAUCUAUAUCACAAGCUAAUAGACCAUCCAAGGCUGAGCCAUCCACAUCACAUCUUGAAAAAGCACCACUGCCAAAAGAGAAAUGGGAAGAAAGGAUGGAAGUUGAUAAAGACAAAGAAAAGAGUAAGCAUGUUACUUAUAAGCUACAAUCAGAUAUUGAGGCAGCCAUAGAUUUGAAAGGAGUGUUAGAAGAAAGAAUAUUGAAUACCAAAAUUGAAUUUACUCUACAAGAAAUUUUAGGCAUUGUAAAGAGGGAAUUUUAUGAAGUCAUCAUUGAGACCAUUAAACAAAAGAGGUAGUUGACAGGAGAAUCUGCUGUAUCUAAUGCUUUGAAUACAAUCUUGACUGAAAAAGAAAAAUAUGAAUUGGUAAAAUGUUGUAUCAAUAAAAAGGUAUAAUUUGAUUUAGAUGAAUACAAAGAUGAUGAUAAUGACCUUGGACACUACACUAAGGGACAUUGGGCCAGAGCCACCACAAAGACUUUAAUAAAAAUGGAAGACUUGGUAGAACCAGUAAUUGCUCUGAUUGACCAUGGAUGUGAAAUUAAUAUUAUAUCAAAAGAAUUCUACAAAUAUGAAAAGUGGUGCAUUGAUAUUAACCAUGGUUGGAUGAUUUGGGCAACAAAUAAUACAUGAAGAGAUCUUUAUGGUGCUUACUCCAUUGUAGAGGUAAAAAUUGGAGAUGUGACCAUAGAACAAAUUUAUUUUGUUCAAGACACUACUUCAUACCUAGUGAUUCUUGGUCAACCAUAUAUUACAAUUGUGAGGAUGGAGAACAAGGUUUUGGAUGAUGGAUCAGCAUGUGCCCAUAUUAAAAGUCAAGAUGGAAAAAGAGUAGUGCAAUUUCUAACAACACUUAUAAACUAUAAGCGCAAUCAAGAUUAUCUACGGAGUGAUUUAUCACCAAGGAUUAUUAGAAAAUUUUAAAAAAUUUUACAGGAUAUCACUAUAGAGUGGAAAUAUAGUGGUACAUCAAAGAAAAUAUUCUUGCAUGGAAAGAAUAAUAUCUUUCAUAUAGGUGUUGUAAAAUUAUCUAAGAAUAAAUUUUUUGUAUAUACACCGCUUAAUGGCUUACAAAAAUGAGAGCAAAGAAGUAUGCAAAAAUCUGAAAAAGACCUAAAAAGAGUAGAUGUGCUUGAUAAAGAUGCUUAAAUAGCAAGUAUAUAUAUAUAUAUAUAUAUAUAUAUAUGGAAACAUAUUUGAAAGAUUUUGGAAGAAAUAAGCUAGAAAUAUAAGGAUAAAAUUAAUAUGUGGCAUUAAUUGAGGCAACAAGGAAUUCGUGAAGAUAUUAGAGAAGACAUAUAUUACUUAACAAAUGAAGAAGUGGAAGACAUGGAUCAAAAAAAGACAAUAUUGGAAAGAUGAUAUAACACCAAUCCCAACUUUGGUUCUUUUUGGUGCAUACCAAAGGAUGCUUAGGUUUAGAGGGGGUGGAUGUCGUGUUGUGGUUUGGCUACUAUAUGAAAAUAUAAUUAUGUACUUAAUAUAUAAUUUAUUUAAGUAACAUGGUGAGAGCCAUGUUAGUAGAUUUAGUUAAUUUUAGAAUAUAAUUUGAUUAUUACCUUGACAAGAGGUUGUUUAAAAAGAUUACUAUAGAAUUUGUAUAACAUUAAUUUCUUUUGAUAGUGGCUUUUAAGAUUGGUUUUGAUUGAUAGUAACUUCUAAAUAUUAAGAGCCACCUCUGUUAGAUAUUGGUGACCUUUGAAAACUUAGUUUGGUUCUUUUAUUUGAUGUUUAGAGCAUAAAUUAUGUAAAUCUUAUAAGAAAAAGGAUUGAAGAAGGAUUUUGGUAGCAAAGGGAGUAAUUAGGGCACCAAUAUAAAUGAAUGGAGAUGGAUGAUGAAAAUCUCCAUUCCUAUUGGUCAAAAAUCAUGACCAAUGGACUUUGAGGAGGCUACUCGAGGCCAUAUUAGAAAUUAGGGUUAGUUUUUUGGGACAUUCGAGCUUUGAAGGAUAGGGUCAGCAAUUUUAGAUUUCUAGCUAUGGUUUUGGUGCAAAUUUUGUAUGAUUUGGAGUUUAUAUGAAGGAGAUAUAAGCACUCAAAGUUAAGGUGUUGAUUUGGGAGCUACUGUCACUCUUUCUGGCAUAAUGCACGAGUACGGAUGGCAAUUGAGGAUCGGCAACUGCGAUUGGAGAGAGUACUUUUGCAACUACAUUUUUUACAUAUUGCUUACUAGAUUCCAAGUUGAAAUAAAGGAGUUAUUGAAUUUUGAAGUCAGCACAUGCAAUCAAAGGGUAGUAAGUGACCUGAUUUACUAGUGGUUGUGUCUUGAGCUAUAUCUUAAGCAAUUUGAAAAGGAUUUUGCUCAAAAUUUCAAGAAAUGUGUAAUAUCAUGUUAGUAAACUUUUUAUAUAAGUUUUAUGAUAUUUGAGUAUUGGAUUCUUGAGAUAUUAAGAAAAUAGUGCUUAGGUGCUUGUAAAUUAGGGUUUAGAGCGUCUAGUAGGAUUUCUUAGAUGUUAGAAGAUUGGGAGUGAA